UACGGGGGGUGCAAGCGUUGUCCGGAUUUAUUGGGUUUAAAGGGUGCGCAGGCGGCCUAGUAAGUCAGUAUUUAAAUACGGCGGCUCAACCGUCGAGAUGGUACUGAUACUGCUGGGCUUGAGUACAGACGAGGCAGGCGGAAUUUAGGGUGUAGCGGUGAAAUGCAUAGAUACCCUAAGGAACACCGAUAGCGAAGGCAGCUUGCCAGACUGUUACUGACGCUCAGGCACGAAAGCGUGGGGAGCAAACAGG
rnacentral:rRNA from 1 species